GGCCUGGUGGUCUAGUAGUAUGAUUCCUUCUUAGGGCGGCAGCCGCAAUAUGGAGGAGGUCCCGGGUUCAAUUCCCGGCCAGGCCC